ACGGAGGGGGCUAGCGUUGUUCGGAAUUACUGGGCGUAAAGCGCGCGCAGGCGGCCGUUUAAGUCUACCCGUGAAAUGCCGGGGCUCAACCCCGAGCACGCCGGGGGAUACUGGACGGCUGGAGACACGUAGAGGCAAGCGGAAUUCCGGGUGUAGCGGUGGAAUGCGUAGAGAUCCGGAAGAACACCGGAGGCGAAGGCGGCUUGCUGGGCGUGAUCUGACGCUGAGGCGCGAAAGCGUGGGGAGCGAACAGGA
rnacentral:rRNA from 1 species